GCUGGGAGCGGUGGCGCACGCCUGUAAUCCCAGUGGCUUGGGAGGCUGAGAUGAGAGGAUCGCGAGUUCAAAGCCAGCCUCAGCAAUGGUGAGGUGCUAAGCAACUCAGUGAGACUCUGUCUCUA
rnacentral:sRNA from 1 species